CACGGACCAAGGAGUCUGACAUGUGUG
rnacentral:snRNA from 1 species